UUUCCGUAGGUGGACCUGCGGAAGGAUCAUUAUCGAAUUUCGAGGGGAAGGAAGAUGAGGAGUGGAGCCUGUCGCUGGCUUUCCCGCCUGGGAAGCAUGUGCACGCCUUGCUUUUCGUUGACCUUUCUCUUACUCUCACACCUGUGCACCCAUUGUAGGUCCUCGAAAGAGGAUCUAUGUUUUUAUCAUCACACGCAUCGUAUGUCCAUAGAAUGUAACAUGAUUGUCGAUCGACCUCGCGGUCGGGUGGCGGUCUAAAUAAAUAAAUACAACUUUCAGCAACGGAUCUCUUGGCUCUC
rnacentral:misc_RNA from 1 species